AGUGAGCGCUGGCGGUAGGCCUAACACAUGCAAGUCGAACGGCAGCACAGUAAGAGCUUGCUCUUACGGGUGGCGAGUGGCGGACGGGUGAGGAAUACAUCGGAAUCUACUUUUUCGUGGGGGAUAACGUAGGGAAACUUACGCUAAUACCGCAUACGACCUACGGGUGAAAGCAGGGGAUCUUCGGACCUUGCGCGAUUGAAUGAGCCGAUGUCGGAUUAGCUAGUUGGCGGGGUAAAGGCCCACCAAGGCGACGAUCCGUAGCUGGUCUGAGAGGAUGAUGAGCCACACUGGAACUGAGACACGGUCCAGACUCCUACGGGAGGCAGCAGUGGGGAAUAUUGGACAAUGGGCGCAAGCCUGAUCCAGCCAUACCGCGUGGGUGAAGAAGGCCUUCGGGUUGUAAAGCCCUUUUGUUGGGAAAGAAAAGCAGCAGGUUAAUACCCCGCUGUUCUGACGGUACCCAAAGAAUAAGCACCGGCUAACUUCGUG
rnacentral:rRNA from 1 species